UACGAAGGGGGCUAGCGUUGCUCGGAAUCACUGGGCGUAAAGGGUGCGUAGGCGGGUCUGUAAGCCAGAUGUGAAAUCCCCGGGCUUAACCUGGGAAUGGCAUUUGGGACUGCAAGGCUUGAGUGCGGCAGAGGAGACUGGAAUUCCUGGUGUAGCAGUGAAAUGCGUAGAUAUCAGGAGGAACACCGAUGGCGAAGGCAGGUCUCUGGGCUGACACUGACGCUCAUGCACGAAAGCGUGGGGAGCAAACAGG
rnacentral:rRNA from 1 species